UGUGCGCGCGCGUGUGUGUGUGAUGCUGUACAGACACUCUAGUCGUGCUAUAACACAGAGUUCUGUCCGUUGCAUUCUGGCCUAACUCCAGCUACCUCCAGCACUGCAGAAUGCUGGUGAUGAUAUAUGGCUCAGUGACAUCUCUCUCUCUCUCUCUCUCUCUCUCUCUGUAACAACCCCUCCCAAUGGUGCCUCCAUUCCGCCUUAUGUCUCUCUCUCUUUUUUAAUCUACCUCACCCUCCACCUUUCCUUCUUCCCCCUCUCGCUUCCUUUUUGCCAUACUAUCCCCCUCUUCCAUUAAUCCUCCCCCUCCCCCUCGUCCUCUCCUCCCAUCGACUGCAGCACAUCAUGUAAAGACGCGAUAGAAGAUUAUAUGCCAGGCAAUGAAGGGAUGUCGGAGUGACAAAUCCCAGGGAGAAGGGGCCUACUUUGAGCUGUUACAAAACCGAAUAUUAGCAGAGAGGGGAAAGAAUUGAUAGAGGAAUAUUAGAGCGAUGACGGCUGCAUCGUGAGUCUCCCUUUAUGGACUUAGAUGAUUAAAUAAUAUUCUGCGUGGGUGCCCUAGAUUUCAGAUGUUAGCCACAUGCUGGGAUUAACCCCAUCAUAUUAAUCAACGGUUAUCAGCCACCUCCUGUGCCACUACGUCUUAGAAUCCAACAGGAAAGACGCCAUGUUUAAUGUCAGGUUACAAUAUUUAAAUUAGACGUUACGUCUCACAUUCUGGAAGGCCUGAGUUCUGUUAUGUUGGCAUUUGGACAUGGUACUUUGUAAAAACAAAAAUCACGUUCUCCAUUUCAGGCGAGUGCGGUCCAGUGAUCUAAGCUGUUGUCUCCAGUACGCCUUUUGCACCAGCAAAACAUAAAUGCCUGAUAAACACAUCUUUAAAAAAUCAUGCUUGUAACUUCACUGAGAGAUUGUCUGUCCUUGCCUCAAAAAGAGCAUCGGAAAUGAAAGGUUAGUCUGAGUAUCGGCCUAUGUAGCUAACAUCACAGUUCUUACCACUCCUUGUCAUUGGCACAGGCCUGGAGAACAGGGAAGUGGAAUGGAUGCUAAAGAGACUACUACUCAGGCUAACCAGUGGUGGGAUGAUGAUGACCAAUCACUGUUCACCACUUCAGCAAGGUGAAGCCUGGACAAGACAUUUAUCAGGACACAAGAUCCGGUUCUACCUGCUGUGGGUUUAUGGUUCACACAAGCACAUAAAACUGCAUACUAAAACCUGUGGAUUGCUUUCAUCUGUUUGGCACUGAUUGUAAAGGAUGAGUGUGUGUGUGUGUAUUUGUGUUUGUGUACAAUAAACAACAAAAAUUGA